AUGAAUGCUUUGCAUCAGAUAGAUAUUCACAGUUCAUUCAGUGUGUCUGUGUGUUCAGAGAGCCUGUCGUCAUUCUCUGUAACCACCAGAGGGCAGCACACUAAACCUCCCAGAAAUCAAUGCAGCUGCUGCAGGAGAAGAUCCAGAAGAAAAAGGAACAAAUUGAAGAGGCCAAAAAAGAGCUGAAGGAAGCGAAGAAAGCACAUAAAGACGCUCCGUCUGACAAAUCCAAGAAGUGAGGAGUCUUUUAAAUGCUCCUGGACUCAAGGUUAGAGCCGAUAAUCGUCUGCCAGCAGUGUUUGUGCUGUAAAAGCAUGAAAUAUUCAGACGGAUCAACAGCCAAAAGAAAGAAAUGAAUAAAAACUGUUUGUGCCUGAAGACAUUCACAUUAAAGCAUUACAGUUACUGCUUCUUGAUGGAAAAUACGUUGCAGUUGCAUCAGUGUUUGCCAAAUUUGAUUAUUAUUAUUAUUCUAUUAUAUUAAGAGCUUUAUACAGUAACUAUGAAAUAUAAGCAGCAACACGUUUUAAAUAAUCUAAAUACGUGACUUAUGUUCGGGAAAAUACAGUCGUUUUUAUUUGAAGUCAACGUAAUUUAGGGUUAUUAUAGUUAAAUAAAACUAUUAAAACAUUCUUGUUGGUUAAGAUAUAGCUGAAAUAUACAUAUUAGUAAACUAAUUAUUUUGGUUAGUUGGCAAGGCAACAUUUCACAUUUUCAUUUAGUUUGUUGAAUCACUGAAAUUGCUAACUGCUAAUAAAAUAAAAAAUAAAACUGAAAUAAAAAAUAAACCAAAAUUGUAAAUAUUCAACUUAAACCUAGAUAACAGUGUGUGUGAGUGUGUAUGAGAGUGUGUGUGUGUGUGUGUGUGUGACUCUCUCUCUCUCACACACACACACACACACACACACACACACACACACACACAUACACAUUCCAUCAUUGUGAGUGCUGGUGCUCAUCAUGAGUCUUCAAGUUCUACUGGGAAGUUCAUAUUUAUGAGAUAUUUAUGAAAUCAAUAUUAUUUCGUCAGAUGCGUUCAGCACACUUUGGCAAAGUACCAUUUCUGCCUAAAAUUCAGCAAUUUUUUUUAACCUCUAGUUAUUAAACAUAUUGACAAAAAAUGUGCUAAAAGUGUUUCACCUUUUUUUUUUAAUUAAAUUUUUGAAGGUUUAUAAAUUGAAUCAAUCGUAAUUGUACAAUAGUAUGGCAUUUUGUACAUUCAACUUAGUUUUAUUAUAAAUAUAUAAAUGUAAGAUUUCUUUAAUUGUAACUAAUGUACCAUCAGUACAGAUGCUGCAUUCAAUGCUUCCGACAUGUUUUCUC
rnacentral:lncRNA from 12 species